rnacentral:rRNA from 1 species
CGCUGGCGGCGUGCUUAACACAUGCAAGUCGAACGAGAGGAGAAGGAAGCUUGCUUCUUUCAAAUCUAGUGGCAAACGGGUGAGUAACACGUAAACAACCUGCCUUCAGGAUGGGGACAACAGACGGAAACGACUGCUAAUACCGAAUACGUUCCUUAGGUCGCAUGACUUUAGGAAGAAAGGGUGGCCUCUACUUGUAAGCUAUCGCCUGAAGAGGGGUUUGCGUCUGAUUAGGUAGUUGGUGAGGUAACGGCCCACCAAGCCGACGAUCAGUAGCCGGUCUGAGAGGAUGAACGGCCACACUGAAACUGAGACACGGUCCAGACUCCUACGGGAGGCAGCAGUGGGGAAUCUUCCGCAAUGGGCGAAAGCCUGACGGAGCAACGCCGCGUGAGUGAUGACGGCCUUCGGGUUGUAAAGCUCUGUGAUCGGGGACGAACGGUCAGCAGACGAAUACUCUGCUGAAGUGACGGUACCCGAAUAGCAAGCCACGGCUAACUACGUG